UGGGGAAUAUUGGACAAUGGGCGAAAGCCUGAUCCAGCCAUGCCGCGUGUGUUAAGAAGGUCUUCGGAUUGUAAAGCACUUUCAGUUGGGAGGAAGGGCAGUAAGCGAAUACCUUGCUGUUUUGACGUUACCGACAGAAUAAGCACCGGCUAACUCUGUUCCAGCAGCCGCGGUAAUACAGAGGGUGCAAGCGUUAAUCGGAAUUACUGGGCGUAAAGCGCGCGUAGGUGGUUCGUUAAGUUGAAUGUGAAGGCCCCGGGCUCAACCUGGGAACUGCAUCCAAAACUGGCGAGCUAGAGUAGGGCAGAGGGUGGUGGAAUUUCCUGUGUAGCGGUGAAAUGCGUAGAUAUAGGAAGGAACACCAGUGGCGAAGGCGACCACCUGGGGUCAUACUGACACUGAGGUGCGAAAGCGUGGGGAGCAAACAGG
rnacentral:rRNA from 1 species